GACGGAGGAUGCAAGCGUUAAUCGGAAUUACUGGGCGUAAAGCGUGCGUAGGCGGCCUGUUAAGUCAGAUGUGAAAGCCCUGGGCUCAACCUGGGAACGGCAUUUGAAACUGACAGGCUAGAGUUGGGUAGAGGGAAGUGGAAUUCCGGGUGUAGCGGUGAAAUGCGUAGAUAUCCGGAGGAACACCAGUGGCGAAGGCGGCUUCCUGGACCCAAACUGACGCUGAGGUACGAAAGCGUGGGUAGCAAACAGG
rnacentral:rRNA from 1 species